ACUCCCAGCAAUGGGCAAAGAGAUACCUUGUUAUUGGUGGUGGUGUUCUUAUGUCAGUCAGGGACAGAGCAGAUGGCAGUCCUUUGUUCGUCCUAGCUUGAUGUCCGACUUGGUAGCCAAAGCUGUUUUAUGUCUAGGACUUAUAA